GAUGAACGCUGGCGGCGUGCCUAAUACAUGCAAGUCGAGCGAACAGAUGAGGAGCUUGCUCCUCUGACGUUAGCGGCGGACGGGUGAGUAACACGUGGAUAACCUACCUAUAAGACUGGGAUAACUUCGGGAAACCGGAGCUAAUACCGGAUAAUAUAUUGAACCGCAUGGUUCAAUAGUGAAAGACGGUUUUGCUGUCACUUAUAGAUGGAUCCGCGCCGCAUUAGCUAGUUGGUAAGGUAACGGCUUACCAAGGCAACGAUGCGUAGCCGACCUGAGAGGGUGGUCGGCCACCCUGGAACUGAGACACGGUCCAGACUCCUACGGGAGGCCGCAGUUGGGAAUCUUCCGCAAUGGGCGAAAGCCUGACGGAGCACCGCCGCGUGAGUGAUGAAGGUCUUCGGAUCGUAAAGCUCUGUUAUUAGGGAAGAACAAAUGUGUAAGUAACUGUGCACGUCUUGACGGUACCUAAUCAAAAAGCCCCGGCUAACUACGUG
rnacentral:rRNA from 1 species